CACGCCGUAAACGAUGGAUACUAGCUGUUCGGAGCAAUCUGAGUGGCUAAGCGAAAGUGAUAAGUAUCCCACCUGGGGAGUACGCACGCAAGUGUGAAACUCAAAGGAAUUGACGGGGGCCCGCACAAGCGGUGGAGCAUGUGGUUUAAUUCGAUGCAACGCGAAAAACCUUACCCACCUUUGACAUGGUCGGAACCCUUUAGAGAUAGAGGGGUGCUCGAAAGAGAGCCGAUACACAGGUGC
rnacentral:rRNA from 1 species